ACCACAACAAACAGGUGUGUUCUGAUAACGGGAGAGUGACAGGUGUGAGACGUCUAAAACCGUAUAAAAUAAGGAGGAAGAAGAAGAAGGAGACAGGUGUGAGCUCCAGAGUACAAGAUGUAAGCAGUCAUGUCUUCAACACUGAUCUUCCUCAUUUUCUUAGUGUAUUACCUCAUAACAAGAGGCUUUCCCAGACUGUUAUCAUGGCUUAUUGUAGCCAAGUAUCAAACAGAAAUCAAGAUCGGCCGAAUAAAUCUCUGGCGGCUCAGUUUCGAGGAUGUUUUGAUCAAAAAGUCAGGCCUAAGCAUAAAAGUUGACCGUGUUGGUGCUACAAGCAGUCUUUUUAACCAGGAAGAACGGAAAAUAUUUGCUUUGAAGGUUCACGAUGUGCGAAUUGAGAAAGAGGUGUGUGAGAAGCGUGGGCGAACUCAAAAUGAGGGAAGCAAUAAUGGCAGUGUGGAGGCUAUGUUCGCUGCAGCCAGCACAACCCCAGAGGUUGAGGCAAAGGCAAUUCAGCUCAGAAUAUCCCCUUCAGUUGUCACUCUUGCACAGUUUUUUGGUGUCCACAUCAUGAGUGUAAGCGUUGUCUACCUUCGUGACAAGUGGCCAGAAUGCCUGCUACAUGGUGCCGCUGAGAAGAUCACCAUCGAGGGAGCAACACUGAACCAGUCCAAUAUAGCACUGAAGCUUAGAUUGAUGUAUAGCAUGAUAUAAGAUACCCUGCACAUACUAAGAACCUUCUGAAAGUUGCACACACUUGUGUUGUAUUGGUUUAUGUAGUUUUAUGGAAGUGACAGGAUUUUGUCUGAAGGUCAGUGUGAGUGGAGCCCACUUGAAGGUCCUGCAGCAUGUAGCUGAUGAGAAGAAGCAGAUGGCAAGUGUGGCUGGGGGCAGCAUUGUAGGAGCUGGGCAGGAUCCCUUCGUUAAUGGAGUGUGCCAUCUCAC
rnacentral:misc_RNA from 1 species